GAGUUUGAUCCUGGCUCAGGAUGAACGCUAGCGACAGGCUUAACACAUGCAAGUCGAGGGGUAGUUUUCUUCGGAGAAUGAGACCGGCGCACGGGUGCGUAACGCGUAUGCAAUCUACCUUUUACAGAGGGAUAGCCCAGAGAAAUUUGGAUUAAUACCUCAUAGUAUAGCUGAAUCGCAUGAUUCUACUAUUAAAGUCACAACGGUAAAAGAUGAGCAUGCGUCCCAUUAGCUAGUUGGUAAGGUAACGGCUUACCAAGGCAACGAUGGGUAGGGGUCCUGAGAGGGAGAUCCCCCACACUGGUACUGAGACACGGACCAGACUCCUACGGGAGGCAGCAGUGAGGAAUAUUGGUCAAUGGGCGCAAGCCUGAACCAGCCAUGCCGCGUGCAGGAUGACGGUCCUAUGGAUUGUAAACUGCUUUUGUACGAGAAGAAACACUCCUUCGUGAAGGAGCUUGACGGUAUCGUAAGAAUAAGGAUCGGCUAACUCCGUGCCAGCAGCCGCGGUAAUACGGAGGAUCCAAGCGUUAUCCGGAAUCAUUGGGUUUAAAGGGUCCGUAGGCGGCCUUAUAAGUCAGUGGUGAAAUCUCUCCGCUCAACGGGGGAAACUGCCAUUGAUACUGUAGGGCUUGAAUUAUUAGGAAGUAACUAGAAUAUGUAGUGUAGCGGUGAAAUGCUUAGAGAUUACAUGGAAUACCAAUUGCGAAGGCAGGUUACUACUAAUUGAUUGACGCUGAUGGACGAAAGCGUGGGUAGCGAACAGGAUUAGAUACCCUGGUAGUCCACGCCGUAAACGAUGGAUACUAGCUGUUGGGAGUAAUCUCAGUGGCUAAGCGAAAGUGAUAAGUAUCCCACCUGGGGAGUACGUUCGCAAGAAUGAAACUCAAAGGAAUUGACGGGGGCCCGCACAAGCGGUGGAGCAUGUGGUUUAAUUCGAUGAUACGCGCAGGGAACCUUACCAAGGCUUAAAUG
rnacentral:rRNA from 1 species